GACGAACGCUGGCGGCGUGCUUAACACAUGCAAGUCGAACGGAAAGGCCCUGCUUUUGUGGGGUGCUCGAGUGGCGAACGGGUGAGUAACACGUGAGUAACCUGCCCUUGACUUUGGGAUAACUUCAGGAAACUGGGGCUAAUACCGGAUAGGAGCUCCUGCUGCAUGGUGGGGGUUGGAAAGUUUCGGCGGUUGGGGAUGGACUCGCGGCUUAUCAGCUUGUUGGUGGGGUAGUGGCUUACCAAGGCUUUGACGGGUAGCCGGCCUGAGAGGGUGACCGGCCACAUUGGGACUGAGGUACGGCCCAGACUCCUACGGGAGGCAGCAGGGGGGAAUAUUGCACAAUGGGCGGAAGCCUGAUGCAGCAACGCCGCGUGCGGGAUGACGGCCUUCGGGUUGUAAACCGAUUUCGCCUGUGACGAAGCGUGAGUGACGGUAAUGGGUAAAGAAGCACCGGCUAACUACGUG
rnacentral:rRNA from 1 species